GUAUAGUGAUGAAACCCAUGCGUGUCAGCUGACUCUGUAAGCCCCUGGUGUGUUGUGUCUCUGGUCGGUGUUCUGCUGGCUUGAGUCUUGGCACAUCAGGGGUCCAGAGGCAUGAUCAUAAAUCACUACUUCUGAAUAC